CAGUCUUCAGAUGAAUUUUUAACUGAUAAUUUAAUAGUAUGAUUUACUUAUGAAAUCAAAUAUUUCCAGUACAAAUAAAGAAUAAUCAAGUUAUCAAUGUAGUUUUUCAGUAGUAACAAUUGUACACUAUUAUCAAUACAUCAAGGUCGUUUUUAACAAAGAAUAUGCUCCUUUAAAUUAAAAUACUCCUAAAUUUUAUACACUGAAUUCGUUUAUUUCAAAGCAGGAUUCCUAGCGUUAAAUAGGCGAGUAAAAACGAGGAAAAUAAAAAAGUAUUCAUGUGUAAUGUGUACUGUGUAGUGUGACUUCAACUCAGUGGAGUGUAUAGUGCGGUGACGCGAUGAUAGUACAACUCUGUUUGGUUGUGUUCACAGUGAUCCUGCUCACACAAUAUGAAACAGUUUGUGGAGAUAACAACAAUAUUACGCCAGAAUACAUCAAAAAAGCGCUGAAAGAGAAAUCCACGCCUCAAACAUUAAUGCGACGGGCAAAAACUAAAACCAUGCGUAACCUAGACAUGCAAGAUGUCUUCGAUAAGAUAAGGGAAAUCACUAGGACUUUGAACCUUAAUGCUGUAAGAAAUGGGUACAAAGUUGAUUAUAAGUUUCGUAUGCUAGAAUAGAACUGACUAGUAUAUAAUAAUAUGCUUAAUUUUUAGUACAUAAAAUCCAUUUGUAUUUAUUCUUUAUUUUUGUUGUGUUGUGUCGUUUACAUCUCAACUUUACAGUUUAUUGAAAUACAAUAUAAAACACUUUAUAUUUGAUUGCAACGUG